UACAUGGGGUGCAAACGUUGCUCGGAAUUAUUGGGCGUAAAGCGCACGUAGGCGGUUCGUUAAGUCGGAUGUGAAAGCCCUCGGCUCAACUGAGGAAGUGCACCCGAAACUGGCGAGCUUGAGUACGAAAGAGGAUCGCGGAAUUCCCGGUGUAGAGGUGAAAUUCGUAGAUAUCGGGAGGAACACCUGUGGCGAAAGCGGCGCACUGGACCACAACUGACGCUGAGGCGCGAAAGCUAGGGGAGCAAACAGG
rnacentral:rRNA from 1 species